rnacentral:rRNA from 1 species
UACGUAGGGGGCAAGCGUUGUCCGGAAUCAUUGGGCGUAAAGAGCGUGUAGGCGGCCCGAUAAGUCCGCCGUGAAAGUCCAGGGCUCAACCCUGGAAUGCCGGUGGAAACUGUCGGGCUCGAGUCCGGAAGAGGCGAGUGGAAUUCCUGGUGUAGCGGUGAAAUGCGCAGAUAUCAGGAGGAACACCUAUGGCGAAGGCAGCUCGCUGGGACGGUACUGACGCUGAGGCGCGAAAGCGUGGGGAGCAAACAGG